CUUGGUCAUUUAGAGGAAGUAAAAGUCGUAACAAGGUUUCCGUAGGUGAACCUGCGGAAGGAUCAUUACAGAGUUCAUGCCCUCACGGGUAGACCUCCCACCCUUGAAUAUACUACCUUCGUUGCUUUGGCGAGCCGCUUCGGCUACCGACCUUGGUUGGUACGCGCUCGCCGGAGAACACCAAACUCUGAAUUAAUUUGUCGUCUGAGUACUAUAUAAUAGUUAAAACUUUCAACAACGGAUCUCUUGGUUCUGGCAUCGAUGAAGAACGCAGCGAAAUGCGAUAAGUAAUGUGAAUUGCAGAAUUCAGUGAAUCAUCGAAUCUUUGAACGCACAUUGCGCCCCCUGGUAUUCCGGGGGGCAUGCCUGUUCGAGCGUCAUUUAAACCCUCAAGCUCAGCUUGGUGUUGGGGCCUGCCCACCGGCAGCCCUUAAAAUCAGUGGCGGUGCCAUCUGGCUCUAAGCGUAGUAAUUUCUCUCGCUAUAGGGUCCCGGUGGAGACUUGCCAAAACCCCCAAUUUUUCUAUGGUUGACCUCGGAUCAGGUAGGGAUACCCGCUGAACUUAAGCAUAUCAAUAAGCGGAGGA
rnacentral:rRNA from 1 species